rnacentral:rRNA from 1 species
GAUGAACGCUGGCGGCGUGCCUAAUACAUGCAAGUCGAGCGAACGGACGAGAAGCUUGCUUCUCUGAUGUUAGCGGCGGACGGGUGAGUAACACGUGGAUAACCUACCUAUAAGACUGGGAUAACUUCGGGAAACCGUAGCUAAUACCGGAUAAUAUUUUGAACCGCAUGGUUCAAAAGUGAAAGACGGUCUUGCUGUCACUUAUAGAUGGAUCCGCGCUGCAUUAGCUAGUUGGUAAGGUAACGGCUUACCAAGGCAACGAUGCAUAGCCGACCUGAGAGGGGGAUAGGGCACACUGGAAAUGGGACACGGUCCCGACUCCUAAGGGAGGCAGCAGUUGGGAAUCUUUCGCAAUGGGCGAAAGCCUGACCGAGCAAUGCCGCGUGAGUGAAGAAGGUCUUCGGAUUGUAAAACCCUUUUAUUUGGGAAGAAAAAAAGUGAUAGAAAACCUUGCCGUUUUGACGGUACCCAAAGAAAAAGCCCCGGCUAACUUCGUG